rnacentral:rRNA from 1 species
CCUACGGGAGGCAGCAGUGGGGAAUAUUGGGCAAUGGAGGAAACUCUGACCCAGCAACGCCGCGUGAAGGAUGAAGGUUUUCGGAUUGUAAACUUCUGUCGCGAGGGAUGAAGAAUGACGGUACCUCGUAAGAAAGCCCCGGCAAACUACGUGCCAGCAGCCGCGGUAAUACGUAGGGAGCGAGCGUUGUCCGGAAUUACUGGGUGUAAAGGGAGCGUAGGCGGGACUGCAAGUUGGGUGUCAAAUCUACCGGCUCAACCGGUAGCCGCACUCAAAACUGCAGUUCUUGAGUGAAGUAGAGGCAGGCGGAAUUCCUAGUGUAGCGGUGAAAUGCGUAGAUAUUAGGAGGAACACCAGUGGCGAAGGCGGCCUGCUGGGCUUUUACUGACGCUGAGGCUCGAAAGUGUGGGGAGCAAACAGGAUUAGAUACCCUUGUAGUC